rnacentral:rRNA from 1 species
CCCUUAGAUGUUCUGGGCCGCACGCGCGCUACACUGAUUCAUGCACUAAGUAUAUAACCUUGGUAGAAAUGCUUGGGUAAUCUUCGAAACUGAAUCGUGCUGGGGAUUGGAGCUUGUAAUUAUUCUCCAUGAACGAGGAAUUCCUAGUAAACGCAGAUCAUCAAUCUGCAUUGAUUACGUCCCUGCCCUUUGUACACACCGCCCGUCGCACCUACCGAUUGGAUGGUCCGGUGAAGCCUCGGGAUUGUGGUUCUUGCCGCUUUAUUGUGGCGUGACCGCGAGAACUUGUCUAAACCUUAUCAUCUAGAGGAAGGUGAAGUCGUAACA